rnacentral:rRNA from 1 species
GACGAACGCUGGCGGCGCGCUUAACACAUGCAAGUCGAACGGAAAGGCCUGCUUUCCCUUGUGUAUUGCGGUUACUCGCGUGGCGAACGGGUGAGUAACACGUGCGUGAUCUGCCCCCAACUUGGGUAUAAGCCUGGGAAACUGGGUCUAAUUCCCGAUAGGACUGCAGGGUGGUGCCUGUGGUGGAAAACGAUUUUCUAGUGGUUGGGGAUGAGCUGGCGGCCUAUCAGCUUGUUGGUGGGGUAAUGGCCUACCAAGGCGGCGACGGGUAGCCGGCCUGGGAGAGCGGACGGGCACAGUGGGACUGAGAUACGGCGCAGACUCCUACGGGAGGCAGCAGUGGGGAAGAUUGCACGAGGGGCGGAAGACUGAUGCAGCGAGGCCGAGUGGGGGAUGACGGGCUCCGGGUGGUAACCUCCUGUCGACAGCGAGGAAGCCACCUGGUUGGAAGGGUGGUGACGGUAGUGGUAGAAGAAGCACCGGCUAACUACGUG